AUGAGGGCCCCUGUGCAACUCCUCAGCUUCCUGCUGCUCUGGCUCCCGGGUUCCAGGUGUGAUAUCCAGAUGAGCCAGCCUCCAUCCGUGUCUGCAUCUCUGGAAGAGAAAGUCACCAUCACUUGCAAGGCCAGUGAAAAGAUUUACAAUAUAUUAGCCUGGUAUCAGCAGAAACCAGGGAAAGCUCCCAGGCUCCUCAUCCAUACAACAACCAAUUUAGGACCAGACGUCCCUCCUCGGUUCAGCGGCAGUGGAUCUGGGACAGAUUAA